rnacentral:rRNA from 1 species
CUGGAAAGUCCGACGGUACAGGGUGAUAGUCCCGUACACCAAAAUGCACAGGUUGUGAACUCGAAGAGUAGGGCGGGACACGUGGUAUCCUGUCUGAAUAUGGGGGGACCAUCCUCCAAGGCUAAAUACUCCUGACUGACCGAUAGUGAACCAGUACCGUGAGGGAAAGGCGAAAAGAACCCCGGCGAGGGGAGUGAAAAAGAACCUGAAACCGUGUACGUACAAGCAGUGGGAGCACCUUCGGGUGUGACUGCGUACCUUUUGUAUAAUGGGUCAGCGACUUAUAUUCUGUAGCAAGGUUAACCGUAUAGGGGAGCCGCAGGGAAACCGAGUCUUAACUGGGCGUUAAGUUGCAGGGUAUAGACCCGAAACCCGGUGAUCUAGCCAUGGGCAGGUUGAAGGUUGGGUAACACUAACUGG